UUAAAGUGAAGAGUUUGAUCCUGGCUCAGAUUGAACGCUGGCGGCGUGCCUAACACAUGCAAGUCGAUCGGUAACGCGGGGGCAACCCUGGCGACGAGAGGCGGACGGGUGAGUAAUGCUUGGGAAUCUGCCUAUUAGUGGGGGAUAACCCGGGGAAACUCGGGCUAAUACCGCAUACGCUCUACGGAGGAAAGCUGGGGACCGCAAGGCCUGGCGCUAAUAGAUGAGCCCAAGUCGGAUUAGCUAGUUGGUAGGGUAAGGGCCUACCAAGGCAACGAUCCGUAACUGGUCUGAGAGGACGACCAGUCACACCGGAACUGAGACACGGUCCGGACUCCUACGGGAGGCAGCAGUGGGGAAUAUUGGACAAUGGGCGAAAGCCUGAUC
rnacentral:rRNA from 1 species